AAGUUCUAAAUAAAAAUGUUUAUUUUGCGUUAUAAACACCACAGGACACUUGAAAGAAAGACAGGUAUGGUUUACAAAUUUUGCACUUCAUAUCAGUUUAACCAGUCACAGUUAACAGGUUGUGGAUGUUUUUAGUCAAAUUGAUAAUUGCCUUGAUCUGCUGACUGAGGAAACCAGGGAACAGACUCCCAGUGAAAGCCUGAAAGUACUGGAUCCUGGAAUCCAGAUUCAGGCAUAUAUUUUUGGUUCUCCAGGAAUUGGCCAGCCCUCGGAAAAUGUGAUAUUGGUACAGGAAAGGGAAGCUUGUGAAAAGAAGUGUCUUGACGAAUUUGGCCUGGAUACUCAGUAAUGGCGGGUUUUCCACGGGAGCACUUUUUAGUUGUAGUAGCAGGUGUAGUAGCAGGUGUAGUGGGGGAAGCUGUGGUACUGCAAGGCCGGGCAGGUUUCAACGGUGUCGAUGGGAAAGGUUUGUAGGGGUAGUUGGGGCUAUUAAUGUAAUAUGGAUUGUACGGAUAAUAGGGAGGAGGCGCAGGAGUGUUGGGUUUUGAGAACUCUGCCACAUAUAUGUAGUACGGACAGGAAUAAUAUGACAGAUAAUGAGGGUCACAGAUGGGAGGCCAUCCUAUAUGUCGUUUAGAACGACGACGGCUAUUGGACCCAGGAGAAAAAGAAACUUCCCAGGGCUGUUGCAAAGGCUCAGAGGCAGUUGAACCAGGUGUUGAAUCAGGACUUGGCAACAUGGGGCAGGCAAAUUUAACUGGAGUCUCUUGCAAUCUCAUUUGCAACACGUAUCGUCCAUUCUGAAACAAGAUUGAACAAGCAGCCAAGCUGGUUAUACCCUGAUUUCAACCUGGUUUUAAACAUUUCUGACUUAGACGAGACAAAAUUUUAAACUACCAUGAAAGAGGUUACCUUCAGAAUUCUAAUGGUUUGUUCAUUUGCAAUCAUGAAACUCCCUUUACCCAGUUCAUUUAUUAGUAGCAAAGACAUACCUCUUGUAUCACAUUGCAGCCAUCAUAAGGAACAAUUAAAUCAAGGCCCAGCUCAUUCUGCUGCAUCAAGUAGUCACAAGUUUCCAGCACCUGCAUCAGAGGCAAGGGAGGUGCAUUGCCUGAGAGAGGGACAAAAAGACCAAUAUUCAAUGACAAAUACUGUCAUGUGCUUACAGCUUUAAUACAAUCUUAGAGUUGAACUUUGGAGAAGUUACACUAGAUUUUCCUACCCAUGUCCAGUUGUAAGUCAGCAGCACCAAGUCCUGUGAACAUUAGCUUCAUCUUGUCAAGACCACAGUGUAGUGAAGAGGUCAAGCGCUUCCAUUCUGCUUUAUUAGAGAAGUCCUUCUCCAGCUCCAACAUCUCUUUAGGAAUAAAGAUGUUCCAACAUAGAGUCAAUUGCAACAUCCUUGGGUUUUGUAUCAUACUGUACAUAACAUAUCAAAUAAGUAGAUAAUCAAACAAGUCUUACCUGUGCUGUCUGAUGGAUCCAAGUCAACACGUAGCAGUUCAUUUCCUGGAGCAGAAGCAGAUCCUGACUGGAAGUUAAGCUCUUUCCCAUUAAUGCCAAUGCUUCCUGUCUUUACAUCAAUGGCUGGUGCUUCAUUACCUCCCUUGUCUUCUUUAACUGCUUUGCUCAACCCUUGCAAGCUAAGAGAAGUGGAAUUUGGGACUAAAGAGCACAGGAGCAAAAUGACGGCCACAAUGUGACGUGCUCUACGUCUCCCUCCAGCUUCACAUUCCAUAAUGGAGAUGCACACCUGAACCAGAUGGAAAGCACUGUGCUAUGAAGCAGAGCAACUGAAUCGCAGCCUUUAAUACUGGCAUUUCAGCUACCACUUGCACAUGUGUUAAUUAGGGUCACAACAGGUGAGCUCAUUAAGAUCCUUUGUCGUCUCAUUCCAGGUUUGUACUCAAGCAAAAUAAGUCAACUCUGACCAUCUAUCACAUGGCAUUAAACAAUACACAUGCUGUUUUUGCCAGCUAUUUUUGCUGUCAAGUUUUAUUUUAACUAAUAAGUGCUUGGUUGAUUACUCCUCGUGAGCAGCAGAACCUACAGACAAGAAUAAUAAAGACCCACCUGAGAUAUGCAUGGUCUGCCCAUAGCACAAACAAGCUUCCAUAACGUGCCCCUUUGUAACAAAUUAAUGCAAGUUUCACAUGUCAUCACAGUGGGUUUUCA
ensembl:lncRNA